rnacentral:rRNA from 1 species
CAGCAGCCGCGGUAAUACGUAGGGUGCGAGCGUUAAUCGGAUUUACUGGGCGUAAAGCGUGCGCAGGCGGCCCGUUAAGACAGGUGUGAAAUCCCUGGGCUCAACCUAGGAAUUGCGCUUGUGACUGGCGGGCUCGAGUAAGGUAGAGGGGGGUGGAAUUCCUGGUGUAGCAGUGAAAUGCGUAGAGAUCAGGAGGAACACCGAUGGCGAAGGCAGCCCCCUGGGCCUGUACUGACGCUCAUGCACGAAAGCGUGGGGAGCAAACAGGAUUAGAUACCCUGGUAGUCCACGCCCUAAACGAUGGGUACUAGCCGUUUGGUGCGCGAUAGCGCUGAGUGGCGAAGCUAACGCGUGAAGUACCCCGCCUGGGGAGUACGGCCGCAAGGUUGAAACUUAAAGGAAUUGGCGGG